rnacentral:rRNA from 1 species
CCUACGGGGGGCAGCAGUGGGGAAUAUUGGACAAUGGGGGCAACCCUGAUCCAGCCAUGCCGCGUGUGUGAAGAAGGCCCUCGGGUUGUAAAGCACUUUCAGUGAGGAAGAACGCCUGGUGGUUAAUACCCAUCAGGAAAGACAUCACUCACAGAAGAAGCACCGGCUAACUCACGUGCCAGCAGCCGCGGUAAUACGGAGGGUGCGAGCGUUAAUCGGAAUUACUGGGCGUAAAGCGCGCGUAGGUGGCUUGAUAAGCCGGUUGUGAAAGCCCCGGGCUCAACCUGGGAACGGCAUCACGAGCUCGCACGUAAGAGAGCAGGAGAGGACGGGAGAGUUACUGGUGAGGCGGUGAAACUCGUAGAGAACGGGAGGAAUGCGAGAGGCGGAGGCGGCAUAAUUGACUGACACCGCAACUGAAGUGCGAAGGGGUGGGUAGCGAACAGGGUCAGAUUGAUUAGCGUGC